rnacentral:misc_RNA from 1 species
GCGCAUCAGAUAAUUUAAAGGGAGUUGUUGUUCUCCUCCUCUGAUUCAUGUGAUAUGGAUUUUCAGGACCCAGACUAACUUUCAAUGGCCUGUCAUUCAAGAAAAGUUCACAGCGCCCUGCAGCAUUCUUAGCCCAAGUAGCUGAUUCAGGCGAGGCAAAAUGCACAAAUGCAUGGGGCUCUAUCCUCUUAUGCCCUUCUGUUCUUUGGACAUCUGCAGUGUUAGUUAUCUCAAAAUUUGGAUAGGACUCUGGGGGGGUCCAAGAUGUCUUCAAUCUACACCUCCAAACAAGUCCAAUCUCACUUUCCAAAUAUGCCACAAGAUCUUUCGCCUUGAUGUGAAUGUCAAAUCCACCAAAACUGACUUGAGUUACUACUGUAUCCUUCUCACUUUUUUCUAUAUCCAUUAAUAUGCUGAUGAUCUUUUCUUUUUGUGUUUGAU